AUGGCCGCCAUGGGGCCUCUCGGCGACUCGUACGCGCUGCGCUGUGUCUCCGACCUGCCCCCGCCGUUCCGCCCCGUGUUUGGGUUCAGGUACUUCAACUCCUUGCAGAGCGAGUGCUUCCCUGUGUGCUUCCUCUCGGAUGUAAACAUGGUUGUCUCUGCGCCUACUGGGAGUGGUAAGACCGUACUGUUUGAGCUUUGCAUUCUGAGGCUCCUCUCGAGGUUCCUCACAACGGACUGGAGGUUCAGUCUGCUAAAAGGAACUCUUAAAACAAUCUAUAUCGCUCCCAUGAAGGCGUUGGUGCAGGAGAAGAUGCGUGACUGGAAAGUGAAGCUGGGCUCGUUGGGGAUAAAUUGCUUGGAGAUGACUGGUGAUAGUGAAUUCUUUAACAAGAAGGCCAUACAUGAUUCCGAUUUGAUCCUGACCACUCCUGAGAAGUUCGAUUCUAUGAGCCGUCAUGGAGUAAGGGAUGGAGGAUUGGGUUUCUUCAGUGAUAUUGCUCUGGUCCUUAUUGAUGAAGUUCAUCUUCUCAAUGAUCCACGUGGAGCUGCCCUGGAAGCAGUGGUCAGUAGAAUAAAAAUGCUUUCUCGACUUGGCAACAUGAAAUCUGCUCCAUUGGAAAAUGUUCGAUUCAUAGCAGUUUCUGCAACUAUCUCUAAUGCUGAGGAUAUAGCGGAAUGGCUCCUAGCACCUCCUGAAGGAAUCAAAAGAUUUGGAGAAGAGAUGCGGCCAGUGAAGUUGACAACCAAAAUUCUUGGUUAUGCUCCAGCGAAAAAUGACUUCCUGUUCGAGAGGAGGCUACAAAGUUUCAUAUUCGAUAUACUGAUGCAACACUCGAGAGGGAAGUCUGCACUUGUUUUCUGUUCUACAAGAAAAGGUGCACAAGAAGCAGCACAGUGCCUCUCACAAACUGCGGGGUCUCUUGGCUAUUCAAAUCCAUUCAUGAAAUCUAUGCAGCAGUAUGAACAUCUACGAGAGGCUUCCUUAACCUGUAGUGACAAGCAGCUGCAGUCUUGUAUCGUACAUGGAGUUGGUUUCCAUAAUGGUGGUCUUUGCUUAAAGGAUAGGAGUCUUGUUGAGGGUCUUUUCGUGAAGGGUGAUCUUCAAAUUCUAUGCACGACAAAUACUUUGGCACAUGGCAUCAACUUACCUGCACAUACAGUAGUGAUAAAGUCGACACAAUUUUUCAACAAAGAGAAGGGCUCGUAUGUAGAAUAUGAGAGAUCCAUGGUGCUUCAGAUGUGUGGUAGGGCUGGCCGUCCACCAUUUGAUGAUACUGGAACAGUUGUAAUUAUGACAAGAAGAGAGACAGUCCAUCUAUAUGAGAACCUUCUCAGUGGAUGUGAAAUGGUGGAGUCUCAGUUGCUGCCAUGCGCAGUGGAGCAUUUAAAUGCAGAGAUUGUUCAGCUGACAGUGUCUGACAUAACUUUGGCAAUUGAAUGGCUCAAGUGCUCAUAUUUGUACAUCAGGAUAAAAAAGAACCCUGAGCACUACGGAAUUAAGAGAGGGAUUCCUCGUGAUCUCCUUGAGAAACAAAUGAGAGAUAUAUGUGUUGAGAAGAUCCACGAGUUGGGUGAGUAUGGGCUAAUUUGGACAGAUGGAGAUGGUUUCAGUCUAAAACCAUUAGAACCUGGGAGGCUGAUGACAAAAUUCUAUUUAAAGUUUGACACGAUGAAGCUUAUUGUCAAAGCUUCUGCAUGUUGCAGUUUGGAAGAUUUAUUGCAUAUCAUCUGCCGCUCUGCAGAGAUUUCUUGGAUCCAACUACGUCGAAAUGAGAAGAAAACUCUAAAUGACAUAAACUCAGAUAAAGAGGGGAGGCUUCGAUUCCAUGUUGUCAGUGAGAAUGGGAAAAAGAAGAAGCGUAUCCAGACAAGAGAAGAUAAAAUAUUUGUAUUAGCGAAUGACUGUUUAACUGGGGACCCCCUAAUGCAUGAUUUAUCCCUCAACCAGGAAACAAAUUCAAUAUGCUCAAAUGGAUGUAGGAUUGCCAAAUGCAUGAAAGAAUAUUUUAUAUACAAAAGGAGUUACAGAUCUGCCAUAAAUUCUAUGCUCCUUGCAAAAUGCCUAGACCAAAAACUUUGGGAAAGCAGUCUAUUUUUACUCAAACAACUUCCUGGAAUUGGAAUUGUUACAGCGAAGGCACUGAAGGCUGCUGGAGUUGAUUCCUUCGAGAGCCUGGCAACUGCUGAUGCUAGAAAGCUGGAAAGUGCAACGGGACGAAAUUAUCCAUUUGGAAAUCAGAUAAAGGAGUCCUUGUCGUCAUUACCGCCAAAAAUUGACAUACAAAUUGAGGAUGCUGGAAACAGACAGGGGAAAUCAACCAUUACUGUGACACUAAGCCGGCAAUCACAGGCAGUUCGAUCCAGUAAACAGAACUAUGUUGACAUGAUUGUGGGCUCAGAGGAAGAUAAUAUGAUCCUUUUUCAUGAGAAAAUAAGGGCUCGAGAGUUUUCCAGCCCAUAUUCUGUAAAACUUUUGGUGCCAUGCCCCCAGAGUGCCAGGGUGACUCUGAAGGUAGAUCUGAUUUUUGAAGAACACGUUGGUAUUGAUAUCCACAAGAAGCAUGUGGUCAGCAGGGAGGAUGAUGUUCAUGUGACAAAAGCAUAUGGGACAGAAAAGCAAAAACCCUUGAUCAGUCUUCCUGCUGAUAUUUGUUUGGUUAGCUCCAGGACAGCUGAAACAAGUCCAGCUCAACCUCAUAUUGGACGGAGCCCACUAUCAAAAGAGGUUUGCGUUAUAGAAGACGAUGAUGGUGCCAACGUUCCAGACAAAGUUGACAAUAUGCCGGGAACGAGAACAUUUAACAACUUGGCUUCACUAGAGGUUCCCAGCUUUGACCUAAUGCUUGAAGAAGAUAAUGGAGAUAUGCAAGAUGUGUCGUUUCCUGAACCAGCAAAAGCAGACUGCAGAAGUGCCACCAGCAACACAAUUUUUGAUCACAUACGCAAGAAAUCCAGAGAUUUUCCAACACUGAUGUUAUCAAAGUCGAUGGAUAGCUCUUAUGAACCUUUGAUACUGAAGAAGAUGAAGACAUCGAGGGGACAGUUUAACUUGGAUCAGGGAAUCCUGCAUGCGAAUGAGGUCACACCAAUGGAUUCUGAACAUUCCGAGCUUAGAGUCUCUCCGACCAAUACAGCCGAGAAGUGUCGGAGGAUCCUGAGCAGAACUUCAGAGAAGAGCUGCUCUCUGUUUGCAGAGAAAGUUUACAGCCCAUUUGAGAAGAGCAAGAGCCUGAGUAGAAUUCCAGAUGAAAACUCUGUUCAAUUUGCUGACAGAAGGGGCAGCCUGUCUGAGAAGAGCAAGAGCCUGAGCAGAAUUCCAGAUGAAAACUCUGUUCAAUUUGCUGUCAGAACUGACAGCCUAUCGGAGAAGACCAAGAUCUUGUGGACAGCAGCUGAUGAGAACUCUCAUCAAUUUGGAGGCAAAAGGGACAGCCCAUCUGAGAAGAGCAAGAUCCUGAUGAGACCUCCAGAUGACGGCACUCUUCAAUUUGCAGGCAGAAGGGGCAGCCCAUCCGAAAAGAGCAAUGUCUUGAGCAGAACUCGUGAUGAGAACAGUCUCCAGUUUGCAGCUAAAAGGGACAGCUCAUCCGCGAAGAGCAAUGUCUUGAGCAAAACUCCUGACAUGGACUCUGCUCAGUUUGCCGGUAGAAGGGACAACCCGUCGGAGAAGAACAAACUCUGUUCCAGCAGCCCCUUCCCAGAUUUGCAGGCUACGAGGCAAGCUCCAGCCACAGUUCAGCCUCUCAGGAUUCAAGACUACUGCAAGGAUAUAUUGGCGAGCUCAAAGGGCAGUGGAACUGGCGAACCUUUCCUUGGUUUCAAGAGUGUCUUUUCCUUCCUCUGA
rnacentral:rRNA from 1 species